rnacentral:rRNA from 1 species
UAGAGUUUGAUCCUGGCUCAGAUUGAACGCUGGCGGCAGGCCUAACACAUGCAAGUCGAGCGGUAGAGAGAAGCUUGCUUCUCUUGAGAGCGGCGGACGGGUGAGUAAUGCCUAGGAAUCUGCCUGGUAGUGGGGGAUAACGUCCGGAAACGGACGCUAAUACCGCAUACGUCCUACGGGAGAAAGCAGGGGACCUUCGGGCCUUGCGCUAUCAGAUGAGCCUAGGUCGGAUUAGCUAGUUGGUGGGGUAAUGGCUCACCAAGGCGACGAUCCGUAACUGGUCUGAGAGGAUGAUCAGUCACACUGGAACUGAGACACGGUCCAGACUCCUACGGGAGGCAGCAGUGGGGAAUAUUGGACAAUGGGCGAAAGCCUGAUCCAGCCAUGCCGCGUGUGUGAAGAAGGUCUUCGGAUUGUAAAGCACUUUAAGUUGGGAGGAAGGGCAGUAAAUUAAUACUUUGCUGUUUUGACGUUACCGACAGAAUAAGCACCGGCUAACUCUGUGCCAGCAGCCGCGGUAAUACA